AGCGAACGCUGGCGGCAGGCCUAACACAUGCAAGUCGAACGAACUCUUCGGAAUUAUUGGCGGACGGGUGAGUAACACGUGGGAACGUUCCUUUUGGUUCGGAAUAACUCAGGGAAACUUGUGCUAAUACCGAAUGUGUCCUUCGGGGGAAAGAUUUAUCGCCAUUAGAGCGGCCCGCGUCUGAUUAUCUAGUUGUGGAGGUAACGGCUCAACAAGGCGACGAUCAGUAGCUGGUCUGAGAGGAUGACCAGCCACACUGGAACUGAGACACGGCCCAGACUCCUCCGGGAGGCAGCAGUGGGGAAUCUUGCGCAAUGGGCGAAAGCAUGACGCAGCCAUGCCGCGUCAAUGAUGAAGGUCUUAGGAUUGUAAAAUUCUUUAACCGGGGACGAUCAUGACGGUACCCGGAGACGAAGCCCCGGCUAACUUCGUG
rnacentral:rRNA from 1 species